UACGAAGGGGACUAGCGUUGUUCGGAAUUACUGGGCGUAAAGCGUGCGCAGGCGGUUUUGUAAGCCAGAUGUGAAAUCCCCGGGCUUAACCUGGGAAUGGCAUUUGGGACUGCAAGGCUUGAGUGCGGCAGAGGAGACUGGAAUUCCUGGUGUAGCAGUGAAAUGCGUAGAUAUCAGGAGGAAUAUCGAUGGCGAAGGCAGGUCUCUGGGCUGACACUGACGCUCAUGCACGAAAGCGUGGGGAGCAAACAGG
rnacentral:rRNA from 1 species